AAUGGGUCAGCGACUUAUAUUCUGUAGCAAGGUUAACCGAAUAGGGGAGCCGAAGGGAAACCGAGUCUUAACUGGGCGUUAAGUUGCAGGGUAUAGACCCGAAACCCGGUGAUCUAGCCAUGGGCAGGUUGAAGGUUGGGUAACACUAACUGGAGGACCGAACCGACUAAUGUUGAAAAAUUAGCGGAUGACUUGUGGCUGGGGGUGAAAGGCCAAUCAAACCGGGAGAUAGCUGGUUCUCCCCGAAAGCUAUUUAGGUAGCGCCUCGUGAAUUCAUCUCCGGGGGUAGAGCACUGUUUCGGCAAGGGGGUCAUCCCGACUUACCAACCCGAUGCAAACUGCGAAUACCGGAGAAUGUUAUCACGGGAGACACACGGCGGGUGCUAACGUCCGUCGUGAAGAGGGAAACAACCCAGACCGCCAGCUAAGGUCCCAAAGUCAUGGUUAAGUGGGAAACGAUGUGGGAAGGCCCAGACAGCCAGGAUGUUGGCUUAGAAGCAGCCAUCAUUUAAAGAAAGCGUAAUAGCUCACUGGUCGAGUCGGCCUGCGCGGAAGAUGUAACGGGGCUAAACCAUGCACCGAAGCUGCGGCAGCGACGCUUAUGCGUUGUUGG
rnacentral:rRNA from 1 species